GUUUGCUCCUAAUGAAGGCAGAGCCUGCCAUUUUUGUUACAAUCCAGUACCAACACAGUCAUAAUUUCAUUUCCUUUUGAUUUUCAUCAGAUUUCUUUCAUGGGGGAUCAGCUGCAGGUGCCUGAGUCUAGAAAGGAGCAGGUGUGACAGAUCAGGGGCUGCCCUUUGCAGAGCAGAAAAUUGGAGUUCUCAGUGAACAUCUCAAUCUUCCAACUGGAGAAGCAAGGAGUGUCCAACAGAACAGAUUCCCAGUGUCAGACCUGCCUGUCUCCUGGAGGAACAGCCCUGCUCCUGCUCUGCUUUGGCUGCAGGGGAAUGGAGUCACACCCUGUUUGUUUUUG
ensembl:lncRNA